rnacentral:lncRNA from 1 species
CGUCUCGUCCUUCCCGCUGCCAAGCUCCUCCGCCGCGCCGUCGCUUCCACCCCGCGAGAUGCAGGUACUUCUCUCGAGCUCGUCCCGCUAAUCAGACGGUUCACCAUCUCGGCCGCUGCCAUCCGCGGUUCCGCUCCAUCGCGGCGCGGAUUGCUGCGAUCGUAAGAGGUCAUUCUAGGUUACCGGCAAGGGGUGCGUGUCCGUGGUUUGACUUAGGAUGGUUGCCUGCAAUUAGCUGCACUGUUCACGUAUCGAAACUGUUGUGGAACCGAGGCACCCGUCCAUCCCUCACUAGGCAUCAGUCACUGUGCUAUCACGUGUGCAUUUGACACCAUGUUACCACAUCUCUUGGUGCUAGGGCCGAGAUCAACAGCUCUGAUUUCCAAAAGUUUUGCCACCGUGUUAUUUGCUUCGAAUUUGCCCGCGCUUUCCUUUUUCGGUGAAUGCGCGGAGAAUGGAUCAGGUAUGAACUGCCAAGGGUAAAUUAUGGAGGCCAGAUGAUUCGGUAUUGUCGCAUUGAUGUAGGGAACCAGGGUGAUGUGUAUGAUGAUGCUUAUGGUAAAUGGAAACCAAACACUCCUGUAGGUGCGUGAUUACUAUCUUUGUACUAUUAUACUAGUAUUUUUAUUCAUAUCCUUACUAGCAUUGUACGUCUACAAGGUGGACACAGAUUAUUGGUGAAGGAAAAGCGACGGUGUGGUUUUUAUCCAUGUCCGAAGGUACACACCAUAUUUGGUAGGGGAAAUACUAGGCCCUCACAGAGUUGAUGCUAUCUAAGCUUCCAUGCUUUUCCGCCCUUCAAAUUGUACGCCUUAAGCCUCCCGAAGACCAUGACGAUGAUCAGAAUCAUUUUCCCCUUGUCGCUCCAUUUUCCGACAAAUCCAAAUGAAGCAUCCUUGCAGUGUACGUCUUGUUUCAGUAACCUCUUGCAGCUGUAACCCAUUGAGAAGCCCACGUUUCCAUAUGCACUGCAAUAUAAUCACUCAUCAGAUCAGCCAGAAGUUCAGUAAUGAUAAUCAUGGCAAAAUGAACCACGAGAGUCUCUUAAGAAUGCAGUGGAUUUCAGUGACUUGCCUGACGACUUCAAACAGUAUGCUGAAAACAUUGAAAUUAAGUGGAUCUGUGGUCAGUGCUUCUCGCUCAGUGAUGCAAAUUAGCAUGACAAAGAUAGCCAAAUAAGUCAACUGGGAGAAGAUCCAGUCCUCCAAUAGCCCUUUUCUGCUGUAUCUCUUCUCGGCCUUAGAAUACCGAUCGUCAUAAUUGGGUAAAAGUGAAGUGUAACCAGGGAGGUACCUAAAUAUGAGUUGGUGCAAACAUGUGUUAAGAAGUGUAGCUUAACAAUAGUUAAUCUGAAUGAUAGCAUACAUUAUAUAAUCUGAUGUCUCUUACUCUAUUAUAUGAGAUAUAGCUAUUAGUUAAGUACGACAUAUUUUCGUAUCAUUCUACUUAGUCAGUAAAACCACUAUUUGACUAAUGUAAGGAUGCAGUAAAUCCAGGAUUUUUUUUACUAAUGUAAGUGCUGCAGUAAAUCCAGGAAAUAUUCUUCGUAACAAGCAUUAUUAUUCCCGGGAGAAGGUUAGAGAAGGAACUUACAUCAUGACGGUGUAUAGGACUAUUAUUGCCGAAGAGAUGCUUGACAGAUCCACAAUAGUUUCACCAGCAUGCCUCGCAUUGGUUGACUGAAAAAGAGCACCUACUAUCUUUUGAUAGCUGCUCAUUUCCUGUAUAGCCUCGGAGCUCCAUUCCAAAGAGCAAAACAAUAUGGUUUGCAGAAUGAUGAAGCCCACAACAGUUAAAACUAAAUAAGCAGACUUUCUUGUACUCAUAAGAUGCCUGUAUCUGGUGGCCUUUGGAUGCUCAAGAAUGAAAGACCAUUCUUGUUUGCCGGUAAUCUUCUGGAGUGACCACACCAUGAAUCUCAAGCAUGGUGCAAAUAAUGUAUUUCCUACUAGCAUCUGAGGAAUAAUUAGCAAUAGCAGACCGGAGUUCUUCUGGAAGAUAAUCAUAUUCUCGUUUACUGGAGUGAAGCCGCAGUUUGCAACCGAGGAUAUAGCCGUAAAUACAGAAAAAAGAAAGAGCCCAAUCCCUUUUCUCUUCAGAACUUCUUGUGCAUCUGGUACUAGCUUAAGGUAGAGGUAAAUAACUAAGGAGCUCCCUAAGUUUGUUAUUAGAAGAUAGACCGUCACUGCAGCACCUAAAAGCACAGUUGUCUUGGGAUCAACAUGCUGUUUGUUUGCCAGGUGGAGUUCGGAAAAUGACACUUCAUCUUUUGUGCCAUGGCUAGUGUUGGGAUCAAAGUUUGUAACAUUAAUAGAUUCAAUAUCAACAUGAGAUAUGUGGUCCCUUGUGUUGAGUGAAUUUUCUGUAUUGAAUUUAGCCCUCAUGAAGUGAAGACCAAGUAUUGAAGUGAAUACCUCACUACCAAUCAGCAUUAAAAUUGCCAAAACCCAGAGUUGUUUGCUUGAGAAUUCCUCCAUUUCAACAGUAGCCAUGCUUGAGACAGUUGAUGCAGAGACAGAAGUAAACAACACGUCUAAGUCUUUCAGAGUAUUUGACUUAUCUUGGGAGUUCAGGACCUUCAGAGCUUCAUAUCCAGCAAAUGAGAUCAAGGUGAAAUAGGUGACUUGGAUAAAGAGUGGGUUAGUUUGGCAGAUGAACUGGCAGGAGUAUUUCAUAGAUUGCCAUGCAGAUUUGGCAAAAGAAGACAAUUUGGUGGGUGCAAAUGCACAGAAAGUUCGAAGGCUUUUUAGGUAUACUACAAGAGAAUUAUUCAUUCUUUUCUAGUACUUGUGUGGCACUAAAGAGAAUGUUUUCUCCUUUUGGAUCGGUUAGGCGGGGAAAGGGGGGAGGGGGUGCUGGUUCCUUGUAUAGUCACACUGAGUACUGUCUAUUUAUAGUGGAAAAAAUAUAUUCUCCCUUCAACUUUGUACCUAUGGUGUUUCGUAAAUCUGUGCUGUACAGAGGAAUUAUAAAGCAGUAGUGGAUUUAUGUGGACAAAUAUGACCCAAGUAUCAAGGCUGCUUCAUGGAUCCCAUCAUUCAAGAUAGCUUUGACAUAGUACUGGUAGAGGAUUCUGCUCUCUACUGAAUUUGGGUCAAUAAAUAGUCUACAGGCUAGUGAAAAUGCAAAAUUAAGAAUGAGCACUCUUGGGUGCAAAGUUGUUUCAUUCUGUGCUCUGCAUUGUGCCUUCUUCACAUGAUAGAUGCUUUUUCGUUCUUUUAGCCUCCCUGAGUUAGACCUUGACGGCAUGCAGAUCCAGUUGGCACUUGGAAAGAUUAAAUGUGUUCUUGAACUGCAGAUCCAGCAAGUGGUUCGUGUCCUUUCGGAAGCUAAGGCGCUAUUAGGCUCCCUUGUCUUACUGAGUUCCCUGUGUACCAGAACUGACCCUCAGACGUAUAGUGUUCAUUCCGUGGAAUCUUGACUCAGAUCUAUCUUGGAUUUCAAAUUUUGUAACGCUGGGUUAAUCAGAGGUUGCAGUCAUACAAAGACGUACUUGCAUGUCUCUCUUGGAAACAUCAUAAUGAUUGUGCACACUGUAUACUUGACGAAAAUGUUGUUUUUAGCCGGGCAUCAGUAUGCUCCCCCUUACCAGUUACCAUGUCUGUUUUCUUGAACUGCGAAAGGAAUGAGGGAUACCUGCGAGGAGCUAGAUAUCUAUUUAAUGAAUAAGAAUAGACAUCCAAAUCUUAGUCAAAGAGGACUCGAGCCUGGUUCAAAGGGAGUAUAAUUACACCUCCUGCAUUACUGUAGUCAUGUUCUUCUAGAUGUGUAGCAGUUCUUUUCAUGUACUCCCUCCGUCCCAUAAUAUAAGAGCAUUUAUGAUACUACACUAGUGUCGAAAACACUCUUAUAUUACGGGACGGAGGGAGUAGUAUGCUAAAUAUGUACAUCAGUAUAUAUAUGACUCUUGUCGUGGCAUCAACAAUAUUGUUUACUCAUUUUGGUUUUCCAGAGGAAGUAACAUCACGCGCUCUCGUUUCAUAAGCAAACACGUGUAAUCCACAUUUGGCGAAUUUGAUUUUAUUCUUCUCACCAAGGACAAAGCAUUUGGUACAACCAAAUUAGCUCUUCAUUGUUGAUAUGGAGAAGACCGAUGACUAGAUUUUAUUCUUUAAGCUUUAUCAUCUGAGUGGAUAUGGAACAAAUUUUUUGGAUGCUGCAUAGUUGCUCUGCACUGGCAUAUACUACCUAUGCGGACUAGGUUAAAUAUGCUAGUUAAAUUGAUUGAAUGGAUUUAGAUAUCAUUUCGUGUUUCAUUCUGUAAUGGGUGGGCUCUGCUAGUUCCGUGUGGCAGCAAAACACCUUUCAAUAGUUAUAAGGUUGCAUUCAGCUUCUAUGGUUCUGUUAAUUGACUCGUGGAGCAAGAUGACCUCCAUAACUUUUCCUGCAUGUGCUGUUCACACUAAUUUCAUUUUUUUUCCUCUUUGUUCUUUCUGAGAUAGACGCGUUGAACUUUUCCUCACACCAUAUUUUUUAGUUUGUUGUGUUAGAUGUGUAUAGUCUCUUUUCGUUAUAUCCCCAUUGCAUGAGGGGUUUUAUGCACUUUACUACACAUGUAUAUGUAAUGGCCUUUGGCCCUUGGUAAAGUUCAGUUGCUCAUUAUCCAACAUGGUAUUAGAUGCUAGGUUAGCCUCUCGCUCCCGCACAAUGCAACUCUGUGCGCCUCGUUCCUAGCUUGCUUGUCUCCGGUCGUCCGGCCGCUGCCUCUCCAGCCGUCCGGCUGCUGCCUCUCCUUCCCGGCUUUACUGCUCCUCAAGCAGGACGCCGCUGCUCCGUCUCGCCCGGCCAUCGCGUCGAGCCGCCGCUCCUUCCGGCCGCUGCUCCCGUCCAUCCACUACCCUGGUUGGCUGCUGCUUCGCGCCGUCUCGUCCGGCCGCCCCAGCCUUGUCCGGCCAGCCUCGCCCGGCCCCCUCGUCUGGCUGCGGCGGGCGCUGCUCGCCCGGUGCUGCUUGCCCGUCCGCUGCGGGAGCUACGGGCUCUCGAUCCAUCUUGGAUCGAUCCUCCCGCGAGCGUGCGCUCCUCCAGCGAGCGCGUGGGGUCUUCUCACGCCCGGGCGCUCGAUCCAGCGAGCGAGCGGGCGGCUCGAUCCCCUCAAUCCCGCCUGAUCCCGAUCAGGAUUUACUGUUCCCGUUGACAAAAAAAACAGACGCAGCAGAGAGACCUUCUCAUGUCUUCUUCGGGCUCUGUAGCCGUCCCCCGGUGCUCGGUGAUCUUUGAUGGCACCAACUAUGUUGAGUUUGCGGGCUUCAUGCAUAUCCAUAUGCGCGGUCUUCUGCUGUGGGGCGUUCUCUCUGGCGAGGUACCCUGUCCGCCCUUCCCUGUUGCUCCGGUAGCUCCUAUCCCGCCAGCCCCGCCAGUGCUUGCUGCUGAUGCUUCUCAGGCUGAUAGGGAUGCAGCCAAGGCUCUUGAUGAUGCUGUAGUUGACGCUUAUGAUCAGCAGGUAUCCGCCUAUUCUGAUGCUCUUUCUGUUUACCGGGAUGAUCUGUUUGCUUACACUCAGUGGUGCAAUGAUGAUGCUCGAGCUGUUGUUGUUCUCACUGCGAGUGUCCCCCCUCAGUUUGCUUCGGAGUUCAUGGGCCUCGGCACUGUUGCAACAAUGUGGUCCUAUCUUUGUCAGCGCUAUCAGCCCUCUGGCGAUGCUCUAUACCUAUCUGUGGUGCGUCAGGAGCAUGCUCUUCAGCAGGGUGACUCGUUUGUUGAUGAGUUCUAUUCACAGUGCUCUACCAUCUGGCGUCAGCUUGACUCACUGCGGACAGUUGUUUGUAGAACUUGCCGUUGCUGUUAGACUACGCGGUCUGAUUUGGAGUUUCAGAGGGUUCAUGAGUUCUUAUCUCGUCUCCGCUCUGAGUUUGAGCCUCGCCGUGCUCACUUACUUGCUCGUGGUCGUGUUCCUCUCUCGGAGGUGCUUGCCGAGCAUUGUGCUGAGGAGACCUGCCUUCGCUCUGCAGGGUUGCUGGCGGUUCCGUCUGUGUUGGCUGCUCGGGCUCCAGUGUCGUCUGCUCGGCUCACUGCUCCACCGCUCCUGCCUACACCUUCNNNNNNNNNNNNNNNNNNNNNNNNNNNNNNNNNNNNNNNNNNNNNNNNNNNNNNNNNNNNNNNNNNNNNNNNNNNNNNNNNNNNNNNNNNNNNNNNNNNNNNNNNNNNNNNNNNNNNNNNNNNNNNNNNNNNNNNNNNNNNNNNNNNNNNNNNNNNNNNNNNNNNNNNNNNNNNNNNNNNNNNNNNCCGUGACACCUUCUGUGGCUACUGCUCUCGGCCAGGUCACCCAGAGUCUGAUUGCCGUGAGAAGAAGCGAGACCAGAGUCGCUCCUCUCCCAGUGUGACUCCUGGAUCUUCCUCGACUUCGUCACUCACUGACCGGGACAUUGUUCGGCUUAAACGCCUUCUGGCUUCCUCUGGCUCUUCACCGACAGGUUCUGCUGCUGCUGUGACUGCUUCCACCACUUCAUCACCGCCGACAUCUACACCGUCAGGUACAUCUUCGUGGGUUCUGGACUCUGGAGCUUCCUUUCAUAUGUCCUCUGAUUCUUCAGCGUUUUCUUCUCUUCGCCCUCUUGAUUCUCCUAUUAAUGUUCUUACUGCCGAUGGCACAUCUCUUCCUGUUGCUAGUCGUGGUAUUCUUUCCACUUCAUCUUUUUCUGUUCCUGGUGUUUCUCAUGUUCCUCGCCUUACCAUGAAUCUUUUUUCUGCUGCCCAACUUACUGAUUCUGGUUGUCGGGUCAUUCUUGAUACCGAUCCUGCUUCAUUCAUGAUCGGCGCACCAAGGUUUUGGUUGGUGCUGGCCCCCGGUGCCGUGAGUCCGAGGGUCUUUGGGAAGUUGACUGGCUUUGUGUUCCUUCUGCUGCCACCACUUCAGUCAGCUCUCAUGCUCUUGCUGCACCUUCGCAUGCGUCCUUCCAGCAGCGGCAUCAUCUCCUUGGUCACAUCUGUGGCUCUCGCUUGUCUUCCUUAGUGCGUCAGGGCCUAUUAGGGUCUGUAUCUGGAGAUGUUUCUUUACCUUGUAAUGAUUGUAGACUUGGCAAACAGACCCAGUUACCUUAUCCUACCAGUCAGACGGUAUUCCAACAUCCUUUUGACUUAGUUCAUUCUAAUGUCUGGGGUCCAGCUCCUUUUGACUCGAAAGGUGGUCAUCACUACUAUGUUUUGUUUAUUGAUGAUUUCUCUCGCUACACUUGGCUCUACUUCAUGAAAUCUCGUAGCGAGGUUCUCCCUAUAUACAAACGAUUAGUUGCCAUGGUUCACACUCAGUUUUCCACACCUAUUCGUACUUUUCGUGCUGACUCCGCUGGAGAGUAUAUCUCCCAGCUGUUGUGUGGCUUUCUCGCAGAACAGGGUACUCUUGCCCAGUUCUCCUGUCCUGGUGCUCAUGCUCAGAAUGGCGUUGCUGAAGUAAGCAUCGUCAUCUGCUUGAGACGGCUCGUGCGCUGAUGAUUGCCGCCUCUCUUCUACCCCAUUUUUGGGCUGAGGCUGUUUCUGCAUCCACCUAUCUCAUCAACAUUCAGCCAUCGACUGCUCUGUAGGGUGGUAUUCCUAUGGAGUGUCUCUCUGGUCGCUCUCCUGACUACUCCGCUCUUCGCAUGUUUGGAUGUGUGUGCUACGUCCUUCUUGCCCCGCGCGAGCGCACCAAAGUGACUGCUCAGUCGGUUGAGUGUGUUUUCCUUGGCUACAGUGAUGAGCACAAGGGCUAUCGCUGUUGGGACCCUAUUGGUCGUCGCUUGCGCAUCUCGCGUGAUGUGACCUUUGACGAGUCUCGCUCUUACUACCCACGUCCUUCUUCCUCGAGCUUCUCUGUAGACGAUAUUUCUUUUCAUCUCCUUCCGAUACACCCUGCUAUGUGCCUCAUGUUUCACCUCUUCCUCCUACACCUCUCAUUCCUUCUCAUUCACCAUCGACACCAUCUUCUCCAUCCUCCUCCACCUCUACACCAUCAUCUCCAGUCCGUCACCCUCUCUCACCAUUUCCUCUCCACUAUACUCGUCACCCUCGUACUGAGGAUGCUUCCCCUGACGUGCCUGACGCGCCUUCCACCUCUGGUGCACCUCUGUUCACGCCUACCUUGGUUCAUAACCCCCGUGCUCGGCCUCGCCCUCCGCCUGAUCGCUAUUCUCCUGAUCGGUACGGUCUCUCUGUUAUUGCCGAGCCCACUUCCUAUCGGACUGCCAUGACUCAGCUUGAACGGCAGCUUGCGAUGGCCGAAGAGCUUGCUGCCCUUGAGCGCUCUGGCACAUGGGAUCUGGUUUCCCUUCCUUCCGGUGUUCGUCUCAUCACCUGCAAGUGGGUCUACGAAUAUCCUUCAGUGCACCAUAGACAGUAAAUUGCUGUGAAAUGCAUAUCCAUGGCUGAGCUCCCGCGACUAGGCGACUAGGGUUCCCCCUCCCCACCUCCCGCCGCCGCCGACCCUUCCGCCGCCGCUGGCCGCCGGUCCCGCGCCCCACCUCUGCCCCCUUCCUCCCUCCCCUCUCCCCCGUCCGGACCCGCCUCGCGUCGCCUCCCCGGGAAGUGGCCGGGGCGGAGCUCGUGCCCCUCUUCUGCGGGCCCCCUCCCCCUUUUCCUCUCGCCGUCGCCGGCGGUCGCCCCCGGUGCUGGCCCGGGUGGCUCUGGCGGCGGCGGGCCUUCCCUUUCCUGCGCACGCGUGCUCCCUUCCCGGGGAAGGGAGGCGGCGGCGGUGCUGCUCGGCGUGGCUGCGGUCCGGCUGCCUUGCGGCGGCGGCCGGCGGCAGGCGUGGGUGUCGGCGCCGCUCCUUGGCAGCGGGGCGACGUGGUGGUGCUGGGUGGCCUCGUCGCGACCCUGGCCCAGAUCUGGACCCGGCGGGCCCCAUCUGGGUCCUAGCGGGCCCCGGCGUGGCCUUGUUGUCUGCGGCGCAGUGAGGAGGAAGAGCAGCUCGGAUGUGGGGCGUCGGCGUCGACGGCAUGCCGGCAGCAGCGCGAAGGCGGGAGCUUUACGGGCCCACGAGGGCUCGGCCGGGCCUGUGCGACCACGGGCCUGGUGUGCUCCUGCUAUUGCGUCGGGACGGCUACCGUCGCGGACGGUGGAGGUGGGGCCCUCCCGCGUGCCGACGAUGCUGAUGCCCUAGUCCCGGCUUUGAUUCUUCGCCACGCUGUCCUCACUCCGCGGUGCCGUAGUGAGACGGCGUGGGGGACUCAUGUCCGCGUUGGCGCAGGUUAGUGGUUGGUCUCGUGGCUGGAUCCGGAGCUCCUGAGGUGCGGGUUGGGAUCGGGGGAAACCCCUGUCGGCGUGUCCGACACCGGUGCGGUGACGCCUGUGGGCGCCACCUGACCUUCCAGGAGGGCGUCGGGGGCUACCCUCCCUCUUGCCUCGUCGUGUACCGGGGGAAACCCUUGGCAGCAGCGUCGUCAUCGUCGUGAUCCUUCUUGGAGGUGUUGAUAGGUGCCGGCGCUCCGGAGUCUUGGAGCCUAGUGGAAGAUCCUGGUGGGCGCAGUGGUCGCGAGGCUUCUUCAUUUUUGUUGAUCCGCCGUUGUCGGCAUUUGUCUCUUUGUUCUUUCUCUGUCUUUUCUUUUGGGCGUGACUGUGCUGCUUCCGCCCCAGCACCUAUCCUUGUAUGGUUCGGUUGGUUGCUUUGUACAUAAAGCGGGGGGAAACCCUUUUUCGGCAAGUGGGUCUACAAGAUCAAGACUCGCUCCGAUGGUUCUCUUGAGCGGUACAAAGCUCAUCUUGUGGCCCGUGGCUUUCAGCAGGAGCAGGGACGCGAUUAUGAUGAGACAUUCGCUCCUGUGGCCCACAUGACCACUGUCCGCACUCUCCUUGAUGUGGCUUCUGUUCGUCAUUGGUCUAUCUCUCAACUUGAUGUCCAGAACGCCUUUCUCAAUGGCGAGUUACGUGAAGAGGUUUAUAUGCAGCCACCAGCCCACCAUCGAGGUACUAUGCUCCUGAUGGCAUGGUCUGUAGACUUCGUCGCUCCCUCUAUGGUCUUAAACAGGCCCCUCGCGCUUGGUUUGAGCGAUUCACCUCUGUGGUGACUGUCGCUGGUUUCUUGCCCAGUGAUCAUGAUCCCGCGUUGUUUGUCCACACGUCUCCUCGUGGCCGGACUCUUCUCCUUCUCUAUGUUGAUGACAUGAUCAUCACUGGUGACGACGCUGAGUAGAUUGCCUUUGUUAAGGCUCGCCUUCGAGACUAGUUCCUCAUGACUGAUCUUGGACCUCUUCGCUAUAUCCUUGGGAUUGAGUCUCCUCGACCUCUGAUGGCUUCUACAUCUCCCAAGAAAAAUAUAUUCAGGAUCUUCUUGCUCGCGCUGCUCUCGGUGAUGAGCGCAUAGUUGUGACCCCUAUGGAGCUCAAUGUUCAGCUUCGUGCCUCUGAUGGUGACCCUCUUCCUAAUCCCACUCGCUAUCAUCACCUCGUUGGCAGCCUUGUCUAUCUUGCUGUUACGCGUCCUGACAUCUCCUAUCCUGUCCACAUCCCGAGUCAGUUUGUUUCAGCCCCCACCUCUGUCCACUAUAGUCACCUCCUCCGUGUUCUACGAUAUCUUGGUGGCACGAUCUCUCAGCGCCUUUUCUUUCCCCGCUCCAGCUCUCUUGAGCUCCAGGCCUACUCUAAUGCUACCUGGGCUAGUGAUGCCUCUGAUCGACGCUCGCUGUCCGCUUACUGUGUCUUUCUUGGUGGCUCUCUUAUUGCCUGGAAGACAAAGAAACAGACUGCAGUUUCUCGCUCGAGUAUAGAGGCUGAGUUGCGAGCCAUGGCUAUGUUGACGGCUGAGGUGAUCUGGUUACGGUGGUUACUUGAGGACUUUGGUGUAUCUGCUACUACCUCAACUCCCCUACUGUUAGACAGUACUGGUGCUAUCAGUAUUGCGCGUGACCCGGUGAAGCAUGAGCUCACCAAGCACAUCGGUGUGGAUGCCCACUUUGUGCGUGCUGCUGUGCAGGAUCAGACUCUUGCUCUUCACUAUGUGCCCUCUGAGUUACAGUUGGCUGACUUCUUCACGAAGGCAUAGACUCGAGCACAGCAUGGCUUUUUCCUCUCCAAACUCAGUGUUGUUGAUUCACCAUGAGUUNNNNNNNNNNNNNNNNNNNNNNNNNNNNNNNNNNNNNNNNNNNNNNNNNNNNNNNNNNNNNNNNNNNNNNNNNNNNNNNNNNNNNNNNNNNNNNNNNNNNNNNNNNNNNNNNNNNNNNNNNNNNNNNNNNNNNNNNNNNNNNNNNNNNGAUGUGUAUAAUCUCUUUUCGUUAUAUCCCCAUUGUAUGAGGGGUUUUAUGCACUUUAUCACACAUGUUUAUGUAAUGACCUUUGGCCCUCAGUAAAGUUUAGUUGCUCAUUAUCCAACAAUUUAAAGGAAAUUCCAAGAAUACACACAUCUCACUAUCAUCUAGAAAUGUAUUACUGGUCAUGCAGUAUUAUAUCUGUGGCAUCAUUAUGCGCCUACGAAGCUUUAGCCAUGAACUCAUGAUCAUAUCUACAAGAGGACAAGAAUCAGUGGCUUAAUAGCUUAUUUAAAAGAUAAUAAUACAUCUCCCUCAAAAUUAGAGAUGUUGCUGAUUCAGAUGAGCCAAUGACAAAUGAAAAUAAUAUAGCGCCAUAGAAACCAAUCAAGUAUUUUCUCGCUACCCAUUAGAUCGGCAUCAUGUAAUUCCAUUAUUUCCAAAAGGAGGAAAAUUAUGCAACUGCGUAACAUUAGCUAGUUGAUUUUCUGUGGUUUAGUGAAUAUGAGGUGCCUUCUUUUGUGAGAAAAAUACGAUGUGCCCUUGAUGGGACAUUUUAUUGAAUAUAACACGUCAUUUAGCUAGAGUUUUUGCCUCUCAACUAUAUCUCUCCGAAUCCCAUCUUAAAGUAUGAAGUGGGUUCUGUUGGAGAAGCCAUAUUCGGAUUUGCUCUUGCCAGAUGCAGAAUAUAUUUGAAGAUGGACAUAGAGAUUUUAGCGAAAACAUAUGUGGCAGCAUGCCACCAGGCCCACCAUGUGAACAUAUAAUAUGGAGAAAUUUAUGGGCCUGUUUGUGAUAGUCCUGUGAGUUUACAAUGAAUUGGCAAAUGUGGACGUCCCUUCUCUUGCAAAAUGCGGAUUACUGAUCAUGGUAAUUUUAAGGACAGAUCAUGUUAUCUCCCAGUGCCAAUUAUGGGAUACUCUGUCCUCUUUAGUGAAUACCAUUUAACAUGCUCACUGCGUUACUUCCAUAGAUUGCUGUUUUGUUUAGUCAGCAUAUUCCACUGACAGCAAAUGCACACUCAUUAACAUCUCUGCUACAGGCGGCGAACUUCAGUAUCAAUCAGUUGACCGUCCAUGGCUGGCAGACACGCAUGCAUGGUGAUAGGCGAUCUUGUUCAGCCUGCCGAAGAACACGACAAGCGACAACCAUUAUGGAGAGCCUCAGUUCAUGGCUACAUUGCCACUUUCUUUUGAGCAAAAGCUACAUAUCCCUGAAUGGUGGCCUGAUUCGACUUUGCGGCUCUCGUGGUAUUAGUGGCCACUACAAUUUGAGCAUCUCAGAUUCCCUGUUUGUUGUCCGUGCCGUAUAUAUCCCUGGGAGCACGUUCAGAGAUUUGUUCUCCAUUAUGUGACCGAUGAUGCUCAAAAUACAACUGAAGCAGGUCUGGGCAGGCUCCGCUGAACUGCAUACCGGUCUUCUGCUUGCUGAUAGGGAGAUGGCUAUCUUCUUUUGGUUCUGAUGCUGCGUGAUAUGGUAACUGUUAGAGUUAUAAUAUAAGUCAUGUACCCUUUGUAUUUAUCCCGUUGUAUAAGGGGUUUCCUGCAUAUGUUCCACACCUGUACAUGUAUAUAUAUCGGUCUAUGGCCUCAUGGGAAUACAAGUUGCUUAUUCCUAACAUGAUAUUAGAGCUAGGCCAAUUUUUUUGCACGCUGCAACUCGUGCGAUUGAUCCAUCCCAAUCUAAG